AAAUUGAAGAGUUUGAUCAUGGCUCAGAUUGAACGCUGGCGGCAGGCCUAACACAUGCAAGUCGAGCGGCAGCGGAAAGUAGCUUGCUACUUUGCCGGCGAGCGGCGGACGGGUGAGUAAUGUCUGGGAAACUGCCUGAUGGAGGGGGAUAACUACUGGAAACGGUAGCUAAUACCGCAUAACGUCGCAAGACCAAAGAGGGGGACCUU
rnacentral:rRNA from 1 species